rnacentral:ncRNA from 1 species
GCUGGAAGAGGUGCGUUAUUCAGGUAACGUAUGGGAAGAGCACAGACUCUGUUGAUCAUACGUGAGGGGAAUUAACGCCGAGAAGUAACACCGUUUGUGAGGUGCUUAUUUCGGGCGACUGGGCUGAAUCCCAGCGACUGUCACCAACAAUAGCAAAGCGCUAUUGAUUAGUUUGGUGGAGAGCUUCUGGU